rnacentral:lncRNA from 1 species
GUAAGGAUACUGGAACUAUGUUGCUACAUCAAAAGUGCAAGAUAUACCGAACAGAUAAUGAAUCAGAUACCGUAACAUGCUACACAAGUCACGGGACAGAAGGUUUGGGAAUACAAAGACGAAUCAGUUUUGGAAAUCUGUUUAUCGCGGAGUAAGCAGUUGAUAAUGAUUCCAACGUGUACGUGGUAUCCUAUGGGCAUAACAGUAUCGUCGUACUUUCACCAGAUGGAAAGCACGCGCGUCGAUUGUUAACAAACGAGAAUGGGAUACAAUACCCUUAUGGUAUCUAUUUUGACAAAGGAAGAAAUAUUUUAAUGGUAACGAAUUUAUAUGGACCAGCCAGUUUGUAUGAAGUUAAAUGAUCGGCUAAAAGUCAGAAAUCCAACAGUUUGAAACAUUCUGUAGACUUACAAACAAAUUUUCAAUGUAAACAGUGCAAAAAUAUUAUUGACAUUACUAACGUAAGAUAUUUACUCUAAGAGUGUAGAUUGUCAGUUUUAAAUUUAGUAUUUUUUAUUAGUUUUGUUGGGUCAAUUUUCUCUGAAUUAAUUUCACAUCAGGGCCUUUACAAAAUGUCUAAAUGUCAACUUCUAUUUCACGUUUUCGAAGCUUAACACAAUUUACUUUGAUAUUCGUCAUUGUGUUCAAUUUGACUUAUUUUCCGUAAGAGAUGACCAAGUUGAUUAUUAACGCCUGAAAAUAGCUAAAACCGCAUUUUUUAACCGAUUUUGGAAAAUUAUUCAGAAUUUAUAAACAAAAAAUUGAAUAACCCAAAACAAAAGUUUGUUGUUAUUAACUAUAUAUUAUCUUUUUGGAUAACGAUAAGAAACGCACACUACUUUGUAAUACUUUAAAAUACAAUUAAAAUAUUUUUCAAAGUG